GUGGGGAAUAUUGGACAAUGGGGGGAACCCUGAUCCAGCCAUGCCGCGUGUGUGAAGAAGGCCUUUUGGUUGUAAAGCACUUUAAGCGAGGAGGAGGCUACCGAGAUUAAUACUCUUGGACAGUGGACGUUACUCGCAGAAUAAGCACCGGCUAACUCUGUGCCAGCAGCCGCGGUAAUACAGAGGGUGCAAGCGUUAAUCGGAUUUACUGGGCGUAAAGCGCGCGUAGGUGGCCAAUUAAGUCAAAUGUGAAAUCCCCGAGCUUAACUUGGGAAUUGCAUUCGAUACUGGUUGGCUAGAGUAUGGGAGAGGAUGGUAGAAUUCCAGGUGUAGCGGUGAAAUGCGUAGAGAUCUGGAGGAAUACCGAUGGCGAAGGCAGCCAUCUGGCCUAAUACUGACACUGAGGUGCGAAAGCAUGGGGAGCAAACAGGAUUAGAUACCCGUGUAGUCC
rnacentral:rRNA from 1 species